GUGCAAUGAUGAACUGUUGACCUUAUAACCAUGAAGGUCUCUACAUUUGAUCUGAGCUCA
rnacentral:snoRNA from 1 species